rnacentral:lncRNA from 1 species
UCAGACCGCGCAUGCGCAGUGGCGGUACAGUCAGACUUUGCUCGAGGACUGAACUCCUGCCAUCAUUCUGUCACCGCUUUUAAAACACCGGCAGCUUUAUCAUUUCCAGCUAAUACCUUCACCAUCAUCAUCAUCAUCAUCACAGUCUUCAUCAUCCGAAUCUCAACAUGAGUGGAGAUCAUGCGCACAGACAGCACCAGGUGCAGGCCGGCUCUGUGGACUACAUUGGAGCUCAUGCACGCUGAUAUUACUCUCUAAACACCCCUUCACACUGCCUGACAAACGUGUAUAUCGUGGUGGUACAGUGAUGCUAUAAGGUCACCCUUAAGUCUAUAGACCAAUGUGGAGUAGACGUCACUUGCAGCUGCGUGCGCAUUGUGGUGACAGAAAAACACUGGGAACAAAUGGAGGGAAACGGGUAAAAAGCAGGGAAUAAGAGAAAAAAUGUAUUGUUGUUCCUUUGGAUGUCAGAAUCGGGAUGCAAAUCAUUUUUAAAGCAUACUGUCGUCAAAGACGCCAAUUGAAGCAAAACGCAAACGUUUAAAUGGAC